rnacentral:misc_RNA from 1 species
UCCUGGUUUCCCAGGCAGUCCCAUCAGAGUGCUUCCGAAGAAUAGCAACUGACAGCAAGGGUUGCGCUCGUUAUAGGACUUAACCCAACAUCUCACGACACGAGCUGACGACAGCCAUGCAGCACCUGUGUAUCUGUUUAGAGUAAACUCUAAAAAACUGUAUUUCUACAGCGGUCAAAUACAUGUCAAACCUAGGUAAGGUUUCUCGCGUAGUGUCGAAUUAAACCACAUGUUCCACCGCUUGUGCGGACCCCCGUCAAUUCCUUUGAGUUUUAAUCUUGCGACCGUACUUCCCAGGCGGAUCACUUAACGCGUUAGCUGCGACACUAAUUCUGCUAAGCAGAACUAACGUCUAGUGAUCAUCGUUUACAGCGUGGACUAC